rnacentral:rRNA from 1 species
UACGUAGGGUGCAAGCGUUAAUCGGAAUUACUGGGCGUAAAGCGCGCGUAGGCGGCUUUGUAAGUUAGAGGUGAAAGCCCGGGGCUCAACCCCGGAAUUGCCUUUAAGACUGCAUCGCUAGAAUCCGGGAGAGGUGAGUGGAAUUCCGAGUGUAGAGGUGAAAUUCGUAGAUAUUCGGAAGAACACCAGUGGCGAAGGCGGCUCACUGGACCGGCAUUGACGCUGAGGUGCGAAAGCGUGGGGAGCAAACAGG